AAAGAGAAGUCACUAAUCCCAUGCUGCCAAGAAAAGCCUCUAGCGAGCUGACACGGUGCCCGUACCCCAAACCAACACAGGUGGGCAGGUAGAGAAUACCAAGGCGAUCGGGAGAACUGUGGUUAGGGAACUCGGCAAAAUGCCUCCGUAACUUCGGGAGAAGGAGGACCCCAUCAGGGUGAAGGACCUCGCGUCCGGAGCUCGAAGGGGUGGCACAGACCAGGGGAAAGCGACUGUUUACUAAAAACACAGCAGCGUGCGAAGUCGAAAGACGAUGUAUACGCUGUGACGCCUGCCCAAUGCCGGAAGGUUAAAGGGAAGGGUUAGUCCGCAAGGACGAAGCUCUGAACUGAAGCCCCGGUGAAUGGCGGCCUUAACUAUAACGGUCCUAAGGUAGCGAAAUUCCUUGUCGGGUAAGUUCCGACCUGCACGGAUGGCGUAACGACUUUCCUACUGUCUCAACCACAGACCCGGCGAAAUUGAAGUACGAGUAAAGAUGCUCGUUAGCUGCAGAAGGACGGAAAGACCCCGUGGACCUUUACUAUAGCUUGAUGUUGGGUUUUGUUAUGUGUUGUGUAGGAUAGGUGGGAGACUGGGAAGCAUUGGCGCUAGUCAGUGUGGAGUCAACGUUGAAAUACCACCCUGCUCAUAACGGAACUCUAACCCACGUCCCUUAUCGGGAUGGGGGACAGCGUCUGGUGGGUAGUUUGACUGGGGCGGUCGCCUCCUAAAGAGUAACGGAGGCGCCCAAAGGUUCCCUCAGGCUGGUUGGCAAUCAGCCGUCGAGUGCAAUGGCACAAGGGAGCUUGACUGCGAGACCUACAAGUCAAGCAGGUGCGAAAGCAGGGCAUAGUGAUCCGGCGGUUGCGUGUGGAAGCGCCGUCGCUCAACGGAUAAAAGGUACCCCGGGGAUAACAGGCUCAUCUUCCCCAAGAGUCCAUAUCGACGGGAAGGUUCGGCACCUCGAUGUCGGCUCAUCGCAUCCUGGGGCUGAAGCAGGUCCCAAGGGUUGGGCUGUUCGCCCAUUAAAGCGGUACGCGAGCUGGGUUUAGAACGUCGUGAGACAGUUCGGUCCCUAUCCUCUGUAGCCGGAAGGAACUUGAGAAAAGCUGUCCCUAGUACGAGAGGACCGGGAUGGACGCAGCUCUCGUGUGCCAGUUGUCCUGCCAAGGGCAUGGCUGGUUAGCGACCUGCGGAAGGGAUAAGCGCUGAAAGCAUCUAAGUGCGAAGCCCUUUUCAAGAUGAGGUUCCUCACUGGGUUAACCAGGUAAGGCCUGUGAGAGACGAUCAC
rnacentral:rRNA from 1 species